UCACCAACUUAGAUUUGCGACUCUUCCAUGCAUUUAUUCUGUGUGAACAAUGUUCUGUUCGACGAUGAUCGUGCAUCGAUCUAUUAAUCUUAGACAUGGAAGCUUCCUGCGUUGUCAGCUCCUUCGUGCAGCUAAUUCUUUGUUCUCUCUCUUCCAUGGAUGAUUGAUGGCAUUUUGAAUCAUGCAGCAGAGAUGUUGCAGAAGCUGUCGUCGAAUCUUGAUGUUCCACGGCGUGCCCGAUGGAUCGCGGGAUCCAGAUUGCAAGAUUCCUUGCCCUGUUUCAACAUCCUAAAUCGCCGGAGAUUCUUGUUCUUCGAUUCGGUUUACUAUUGCCGGUAACUGAUGACCUACUUUGUCGUCUCACAGGCACGUCGAUGGGACGCCCAACAUUGUCCCACGGGCUUCCGCUGUCGUGUCCUCGGCGAACCCUGAACGAAGCCACCCGGAGAUGCUUCGGUGUUCCCCGACUCACCCAACAGCCCAGCUCACGACAGGCUGCCGCGGCGUCCGCCGAAAGGCGCGCCGCCGUGAACUCUCGCUUCCUCGAUAGCGCGUCGCUCUUCGCAUGCUUGGUCGCGUCUUUAGUCGUUACAUCAAGGGGUGCUCUUCCUUUUCCCCGAGUAUAAAGGGAGAGGGCUCGGGAAGAGAAAGAGAGAGAGAGAGAGGGAGCGCGCGUCUCAAGGAGAUUGGUGGAGGAUCCAUGAGGGCCGCCGGGAAGGCCGCGUCCCUCGGCGGCUACCGAUCGGUCGGCCCGCUCGCCGGCCGUGCGGCGAUGCCUGCCGGGAGGGCUCCCAAGCCGGCCUCUUUGACCGCCUCCCCCGUGCCGCCGGCAGCCGAAGGAGGGCCGUCGAUGUCCAUCACCUCAUCCGAAAAGUGCCUCCACGAGGCGGCUACUAUCUCCACGGCGUGGGUGGGGGGAGGAGUAGCAGGGGUUCGCCCCCGAUUCACUGCAUCCGGCCCCAAGGCUCGUGUUCGGGCCCAUCCCGACGCUGGAGGAGGCCACUUCCAAUCUGAAAGAUACCAUCGAGAAAGUGUAUUUCUCUCCAAGCACCAAUUUCCCUGCUACAGAAGUUCCUCAUAUGUCUGCCCACCAUGAAGCCUCAGGGAUUAUUCCAUCAAUGCAGGGACAUGUUGUUCGAGAAUUUUCACUGCUGCAAGGAAGUCCGGAAGUUCAGGGUGUUGUUGCUUAGCUUGCUUCCAACAAGAAUGUUUGGGAUGCCAUAAUGAAGAAUGAGAAAGUCAUGGAAUUCUACAGAACUUACAUGUCAAGUGAGUGUGCAUUCACUUCUAUUAACAUAUCAACUUGAAAUGAACUUGUGAUGUAU